rnacentral:lncRNA from 1 species
AUCUUGAGGCUGUUUGUCAAGCCGGGAAGUAACAGCUCCCAUCACAUGCAACCAAAAUAAAUACAACAGCUGCAGUCCCCGGACACCUUGCUUAAUUUAAACCUGGGUAACAGUUUAGUUAAUUAUGUCAGUGAUACAAAACUGUUUCUUCGUUCCGCACAUAUUCCCUUUAUUCAUCUUGAAACGUGUCCGCUUAUCUGAUUACAGUCCCUCUGUCUUCUCUUAUUCCCCACCCCCGACCCGUCGCCUGAUGCCCAGGAUAUAUUCAUCGCCACCCCUCCCCCGCGAAUUAAGAGCCCCACUUCUUGUGCUGUCCCCUUAACAACAGCGAACUCUCUUGCCAGUGAACUGAGACUAAUUUUUUUUUGCUGUUGAUGGAAAUAAAUUACCCAAAAUUUACUGUAGAAAUUUAGGUUUAUGAGAAUUUGCCAGACAUUUUGUGAAAUCCAAUCUGAAUCCCAGCCCACUCCUGUAGUACGUUUCUUACCAAAAAACCAUUCCUUGCUUGAUAUUACUCUGCCUUCACACGUGUUGCUAUAGGAGUUCUGACUUUAACCAUCCAAGUACCUCUUUGAAAAAAAACAAAAUUCAUAUUUUAAUUACAUUUCCCUAGUUUCCCUUUAGGGUGUUCCAGAUUGGCCCAACUGGAUACAUUAACCUGUUCUAGAAGGCAGGGAUUCCCAAAUUUCAACCUUUUUCAUACUGUAUCUGUGUAUACUACUCACUGUCCUUUUUUCUUUAAAUAAAUGUAUAUUUUCUU